rnacentral:rRNA from 1 species
UACGUAGGGUCCGAGCGUUGUCCGGAAUUAUUGGGCGUAAAGGGCUCGUAGGCGGUUUGUCGCGUCGGGAGUGAAAAACUCAGGGCUCAACCCUGAGCGUGCUUCCGAUACGGGCAGACUAGAGGUAUGCAGGGGGAGAACGGAAUUCCUGGUGUAGCGGUGGAAUGCGCAGAUAUCAGGAGGAACACCGGUGGCGAAGGCGGUUCUCUGGGCAUUACCUGACGCUGAGGAGCGAAAGCAUGGGGAGCGAACAGG